CUCCACCUACUCAGCCCAUGGAGGUCCGGAUCGCUCCUGAGCAGCUCCGGGAGUUGCGGCAGGAGAUAGUUAGAGAUCUCCGGGACGACCUACUUAGGGAGCUCCGGGGUUCAGUGCCUGCUCCUUCUCCUGCACCUUCUUCAGCGUUGGUCCCUUCCCUGUCCGCCGUGGCUGAGAUGACGGCCCAUGUGCGGGAAGAGAUCGACAAUGUAAGGUUCCUGAUCCAAGCCCAGUUCCACAGCAUGAGC
rnacentral:lncRNA from 1 species